rnacentral:rRNA from 1 species
UACGGAGGAUCCGAGCGUUAUCCGGAUUUAUUGGGUUUAAAGGGAGCGUAGGUGGAUUGUUCAGUCAGUUGUGAAAGUUUGCGGCUCAACCGUAAAAUUGCAGUUGAAACUGGCAGUCUUGAGUACAGUAGAGGUGGGCGGAAUUCGUGGUGUAGCGGUGAAAUGCUUAGAUAUCACGAAGAACUCCGAUUGCGAAGGCAGCUCACUGGACUGCAACUGACACUGAGGCUCGAAAGUGUGGGUAUCAAACAGG